GUGAGAAUGAGCAACCCCAGACCAUCCAGGCAGCCCUGAGUCAGCAUCCAGCCCUGCCUCUGCAUGCAGAGAAGUGGUUUUCUCAAGCACUGUGGAAUAGUCAGCCCACAUCCCUAUGGAACCACCCACCUUUCCAAAAAAUCCUCCAAGCUGGUAAAGGCUGGAUUGUCAAGGAAGUCCCCCACUGUGCCUUUUUCUUUCUGGCAGCCCUCUGCUCCAUUGAUGAAGGUUCAGCCAGGAGUCCUGGGCUGCCCCUCCAUCAAGACCAAGCUGGCUCACGGUCACUUGUGACAAUAAGUAAAGCAUCCCCAUCAUCAUCAUCAACUGACAAAAACUGAUCCCACCCCAGUCCCCAUGCUGGGGCCUGGGUGCUAAAGACAAGAUCUCGGCUGAGCACGCCACUGCCUGGGCCUCAGAGUGAGCUAUGCGCUUGUACUUUAUAAGAUGUAUCUCCGUUUAUCCACACCAUGGGUUAUACCAACUCAUGGGAUAAAUGCUAAUUCUUUUGGCAGUUUUUACAGUUUUAUUUAAACACAAACGUGCACAUGAGCUGUCUACUCAUUUUCUUUGCCAUGCUGCCUGGCAUUAGGGUUGGUGACUCUGAUGGCUAGCUGGGCGGCUCUUUCCAUGAUGGCUUUGUGGUUCUUGGAGGCAACAUUGUGAGCGAUGUCAGCACAGUAAGAUUUAUCGCACAUCAGCAGCACUUCCAGCUCCUUGACAUUGUGGACCAGGAACUUCCAGAAGCCACUGGGCAGCAUGUGCUUUUUUGGUUGCUCCCAUAACCAAUGUUGGGCAUCAAGAUCUGGCCUUUGAACCUUCUGUGAACCCUGUUGUCAAUACCUCUGGGUUCCCAUCAGUUACACUUAAUUCUGACAUAUCAGUCUGACUGGUGACUGAUGAACUUCUUGGUUCUCUUUUUGACGAUCUUGGACUUCACAAGGGGUCUAAGGGCGGCCAUGAUGCUGAGGAGAUGGCUGCCACCUCAUAGGCAGCGCUGAGGAAGAGGAUAAAUGCUAUUAUUAAACCCAUUGUACGGAUGAGGAAACUGAGACUCCAGAGGGUGAAGUAGCUUGUAUAAGGUCAUGCCCUUAGCAAGUGCAUCUGGAUUUACAUUCUGAGCUCUUGACUAAUCUAUGUUGCCUCCAAUGGGCUCCUUCAUUAGAGACUUGUAGUAGUUAGAUUAUGUCUAAUUAUGAGUAAUAGAAAAAACCCAAAUAACAGCAGUUUAAGCAACAUAGACGUUUACUUCUCUGUUGUGUCCAAGGCAUUCCAAGGAGCUGUCUGGGCUGGUAUGGAGCCCCAGAGCGUCAAUGAAUCAGGUUCCUUCUCUCCGUUGUUCUGUGCUGCAUUGGUUUCAUGCCUAAGGUCACCUUCUGGUCCACAGUAACUGCUGGAGCUCCAGCCAUUGCAUUUCACUCUUGCCAGCAUAAAGGAAGAAACAAAUUAACUUGUGCAUGCUUUUUCUUGAAGCAUAUUUUCUAGAAGGUUUCAAA
rnacentral:lncRNA from 1 species